GCCUACACUCCCUAAACUUCGCUGCCUUCUCUCAUGCACACACACUGGGGAUUCUUGCUCUGCACCGGGACACAGGCCCAAUGCUGAUGCGGAGCAGCCUGAAUGAAAGAGUGAGAGGUGGAGGGAAGCGGAAAGGGAGGAGUAAGAAAUGGAAAGAGAUCCUCAGAUUCCCACACAUCAGCCAGUGUGAUGACCUUCGGAAAGGCCUGGAAAGGGAGUACAGCAGCCUGUGUGACAAGCAGCCCAUUGGCCGGCUGCUCUUCCGUCAGUUCUGCGAGAGGCGGCCAGAGCUGCAGCGCUGUAUCCACUUCCUGGAUGCUGUGAUCGAUUACGAGCUCUCCCCGGAUGAGCGGCGCAAGGAGAUGGGCGACGAGAUCAUCCGAAGGUUCUUUAAAAGCGAGUCUUCAGACUAUAUGCCGGAAAUCAGUCAGGCCUUCAUGAACCAGUGCAUGGAGAACCUGCAGAAAAGUGCCUGUAAAGACCUCUUCAGCAGCUGUCUGCACCCUAUGCAUGAGUACCUGAGCGGCGCGCCCUUCGCCGACUAUCAGGACAGCAUGUAUUUCGACCGGUUCCUGCAGUGGAAGUACUUGGAAAGGCAGUCAGUGACCAAGGACACUUUCCGGCAGUACCGGAUCCUGGGCAAGGGGGGCUUCGGAGAGGUCUGUGCCUGCCAGGUACGAGCGACAGGCAAGAUGUACGCCUGCAAAAAGCUGGAGAAGAAGCGGAUCAAGAAGCGGAAAGGGGAGGCCAUGGCCCUGAAUGAGAAGCAGAUCCUGGAGAAAGUCAACAGCAGGUUUGUGGUCAGCCUGGCCUACGCCUACGAGACGAAGGAUGCACUCUGCCUGGUGCUGACCAUCAUGAACGGGGGCGACCUCAAGUUCCACAUCUACAACAUGGGCAACCCCGGCUUUGAGGAUGAACGUGUCAUCUUCUACGCCGCCGAGAUCUGCUGCGGGCUGCAGCACCUGCACCAGGAGGGCAUUGUCUACAGGGAUCUGAAGCCGGAGAACAUCCUGCUGGAUGAUGACGGUGAGUGGGGAACGCCCGGGGGGAGCUGCCUGUGUCUACAUGGCCCCUUCCCAGGACACAUCCGGAUCUCGGACCUGGGGCUGGCCAUUAAGAUUCCGGAGGGCGAGAUGAUUCGUGGCCGCGUCGGGACCGUGGGCUACAUGGCUCCAGAGGUGAUUAACAACGAGCGCUACACCUUCAGCCCAGACUGGUGGGGGCUGGGUUGCCUGAUCUACGAGAUGAUCGAGGGGCAGUCACCGUUCCGCGCCCGCAAGGAGAGGGUGAAGCGGGAGGAGGUGGAGAAGCGGGUGCAGGAGGAGCAGGAGCUGUAUUCCGACAAGUUCACCGAGGACACCAAGGCCAUCUGCAAGAUGCUCCUGACCAAGGACCCGAAGCAGCGACUGGGCUGCGGGGAGGAUGGGGCCGCCCAGGUGAAGCAGCAUCCGUUCUUCAGGACCAUCAACUUCAAGCGCCUGGAGGCUGGGGUCAUAAAGCCAUCGUUUGUGCCAGAUCCUCGGGCCGUGUACUGCAAGGACGUGCUGGACAUCGAGCAGUUCUCCACCGUCAAGGGCGUCAACCUGGACCAAACGGACAGUGAUUUCUAUGCCAAAUUCGCCACAGGCAGUGUCUCCAUCCCCUGGCAGAAUGAGAUGAUAGAGACCGAGUGCUUUAAAGACCUGAAUGUGUUUGGACCAAAUGGGAUGCGCUCCCCAGAUCUGGACUGGAAGCAGCUCCCCGAGCCGCCCAAGCGCAGCCUGCUUCAGCGGCUCUUCCGGCGGCACCCAGCUGAUUACACCAUCAGCACCAACACACACUCCAACCUCACUGCGGGCGUGAACUCACAUCCUCCCAUGGCCAACUCCGUCUGCCAAGGCCGGGCCAUGGCACAGGCGCCUUCCUGACCCUCUGUUCUACCAUGGAGACCCUGCUCCGUUAGAGCCAGCGCAGGCAGGCCCGGAGCUUGCCCGUGGAGCUGCCAUCCUUGCCUUCUCAGGGUUACCGUGGAUGUGAAGCUGAGGCUGUUGGAGCCAGAGCUGGGGUGAAGGGGCUGUUCCAUCACCCUACCCUGCUGGGCUGAGUCACUCAUGGAGGCUGAGUGGGAAGAUGCAGCCCCCCCAGCAGGACCGUGUGCCAGAUACUCUCGCUGCACCUCAUUCCAUCCGCUUGCCUCUGGGUACCGCCACCAGAGCUGGCUCAGUCCUGCUCCGGGAGGCACAUUGCGCUGGCACAGCCGCAUGCCAAACACAGACUGCGCAAGGGAGACUGGAUCGCUCUGUGCAUGUGAGAGAGAGGAUGGAAUCGGCGUUCAUUGGCACCAAUAACUUCCUUGCCGUGCUCACUGGGGUGGCCUCCUGCUCUGCCCCCGCGGUUCCUGCUGCGAACCCUGCCCCGGGAGGUACUGUCGGCGUUGUGCCCACCCUGCAUCUGUCAGGAGAAGGGUGCUCCCUGCUGGUGUCACCCUCCUGUCUGCAGGGUUUGGGAGAGAGGAGAGGUGGGGCUCACAGCCCGGGUGGGAGCCCCUAGCUGCUCAGGCUGAACAGGGGCCAGCCAUAGCCAGCUGGCUGCAGAGAGCAGGGGGCAGGUGUGCGGUGUGUCUUGUAGCUGCUUGGCCUUUUUCAGUCCAGGCAGGAUCUUUCCUGUUCUAGCAUUGCCCCACCUCCGCCAAGAGCACCGAUAGAGGGGCUCAGCCAGCCAUGUCUUGCCAGUGCAGGGGAAUCUGGAGUUAUGGUUUGCUAAAGAAGGGUAAAAAUGUCUGAACUGAAGGUGGAGGUCAUGUGACUGAACUCUCCACCUUGCUGCUCCCCUCUGGUGGGGCUGCGGGUCAGUAGUUGCCAAAGGGGCUCCUCUCUCUAGACUGGCCCCUGAGGCUGUGUUGUCCCAGUAGCCGGGGCUGGCAAUAAGACUCCUGAGCCAUACCAGAUCUGCCAGGCCAAGAGCGGCAGACUCGCUGCACUUUAUGGUUUUGCCCUGAUUCCAAGUCCAAUGCACAAACCCCCUUCUGUUCUUCAGCCUGACCACUCCUCGGGGAGCUCGAUGGCAGGAGUGGGCCACGGGGUCCGGCGGGGCACGUAGCCCGCUCUUCCAGCCCCAGCCACUGGCUCUCGAGGGAGCUGUGCGUUCUGUCUGGCCACUCGGCUCAUCGGAAUCCAAACAAGACGCUCCAUGGGGACAAUCUGCCGCAGGGGACUCAUGUCCCAAGGGAGGUGCUCUCUGAUGGGGGGAACCAAGGUUAAAAGCAGGCUCUGCUGUGCAGUCCCACUCAAGCUCUCCCUCUCUUCAUGCCUAGAGCAGCAGGUAAAGCUGGCCCCUGCCAUGGUCUUCUAGGCCUGACCAGAGCGAACCUUGUGAGCGGUGGCCCAAAGAUUAGCCAUUUCUGUUCGACUGACACCCGCCCCCUGUGGUAAGAAAGGGUAUUACAGCCUUAUGCCCCUCCCCUCUCUCAGCUGGAGCGUGAGCCAUGCCUGUGAUGACCUCAGCAGGUCCCGCAUUCAAAUUACUUCUAGCGUGAGCAUGUCUCCUCUGGGGAGUGGGAAUCUCUGGGAGUGCAGUGGGGUGAUGGGGUUCGAGGCCUGGCUGGACUCCUGGUUGCUUGGUGGUUGUGCAGGAGGAAUCUUCACCUCCCCAGUUCGGUUUGCGCUGGUGGAGCUGAGUUCCUGCUGGUGACAGCUGCAGUGCAGGCUGGGCUGGGGACCGUCUCUCACCCAGCUUUGAGCCUGGCCUGCACGACAGCUCUCGCCAGCGGGGCUGUGGCACUGGUGACUGCUGGGUCAUAUCUUUGCCAGUGCAGACAGGGCUAUCAGUGCUCUGGGGGUCAUGCUAGGUUGUAAAAUAAGGAAAAGACAGUGCUGGUGAAAUGUCGGGUGAUGACGCAUUGGAGAGGCUGCUCCCCAGGAGCACUGCUGGAGCUGAGCUGUUGGGGUCUGGAUUUGGUCUCUGGAAGUGUCUGUGUCCCAGCCAUUGGCUUGGCUGGACUGGCGUGGACCUUGCUUUGCCCUGGUCUUGGCAACCUGCUUGGCUAGAAGCGCAAACUGGUCAGGGGGAAAACAGUGCAAUGUUGCAGGAGAUUUAGAUGCAUCAAUGGAAGAUGUGUCUAAAUCCUCUAGACUGCUUGACAGCCUCAACCCAAAUUUAAAAAAACACUGAUCCCACUGCACUCAUGUUACCAACAGUAACUGAAACGGAAAGUGAUUGCAAAAAGUUGUGUUCUUGUUCCCUUCAUGCAUUUUGCUCAGCUUGGAGGGAGAAAUUAGGCAGGUUGGUGUCAGUGGGUUUCACUUCCUAGUUCUCCAGAACCAGCCCAAGGUUGCAGAGAGUGAGUUGCAAAUACUGCAGGAGGAGGUGUAAAACCAGACUAGGUGGUGUUCAUUGACACUUUCAGGUUGAUCCAAUUGUUAAAUUCUAUGAAACACUUCAUUUAGGAAAAAGUAGCUCUUGGGCCUAGAUGACAAGACUAUCCCACUGAAAAAUACAAACUGAUGGCUUUGGUGUAAAUGAACCGGGAAAGAUUGUUUCAGAUGCCACAUCUCUUAUCUCUGGAGCCUCAACAGAGAUCCUGAAAUAAUCUCUGCUUGGUUUUUGAAGAACUUAUGAUUCUAUGUGGGGGGCUGGGCAGAGAAAGUUUCUUGAAUAUGAUUGUAUCCUGCUCCAUCUCAUGGGAGAGGAAAAUGUCUUCUGAUACCAUUGAAAACAGGGAGUGUGAGAGAGAAAAUGGGUGUAUUUGUUAAGCAGACUGAGAACUGCCUUUUGCUGAAAGAUGCUCUGUGACCCACUGAGCUUGUCCAGACAGAGACUGUGCGCCACAUGGACAGUGUCUGUUUCUAUGCAAGGAUAGGGUGCUGUCUCGUGCCAGUUUCUCCAGCGGGAUGCUCUGGGGAUUCCAAACAAGACUGAGUUUCCCCCUUGCAAAAAGACACCUGUAUUUUUGUAUUUUCCUUUCUCUCAGCAUCCAUGGGUUUUUUACACUGUAAAUUUCUGGUUCUGGAGUAUUCAGUUUGGUUUUUGUACAUUUGUAAACAUGUGUAAAUCCUUAUAUGGUGAGUGCCUGGAUGUACAUUUUAAAGCUAAAAGCAGCAAAGCAAGCCAUGUGGUGACUUGUACAUAUCUAUGUUUCAGGGAUAUUUUUAUGGGGAAUUUAAAACAAAACAAACCCAGCCUCUCAGAGGAAGAAGUGGAUGUCACUUUACCCCAGUCGAGGAGAAGCCCUCUUACUCCGCUAUAUUUUUGUAGUAAGCUUUUACAACUUUCUAAUUUGUAAUUUUAAUUACAGGACUAUAUUUUAGGAUGGGUUUUCUUUUUUUCCUCUUCCAUUUUGUAAAGCACUGAAAUUACAUGCAUGGUCAUUUUUGUUUUUUGGAGUGUGCCCUUAUAACUUCUGGAUAUACAGGUAUUUUUGGUUUUCCUGCCCCUCACCAGUAACAAUAUACACACCUUCCCCUAGAAA